UGGAAGCUAGCCAGCAGGGAGGAAGUUUCCAGGCCAGUUCCGGUUGGAUUUCUCUAUGUCCUGCAAUCCAAAUGGAUGGCAUCUUCAGCAACAGGGCCUGACGUCUAGUGAUGGUUUCGGCUUUGAAGGAGAGUUGCAGGAAGACCUUCACACGAGAUGAAACUAUGUUGCCAAUUGAUAAAGGAGCAAGGACCCGGCUGAAAUCUACUCUGUCAUGGGGAUUAGUAAACCUGAGAAGUGAAGCCUUUACCUCCCUGGACCUGUAGACUGAGAUGAAUGCCUUCUUCCACAAGUCAUUGUUGAUCAUGACAUUUUACCACAGCUAUGGAAAACCAGCUAAUCCACUGCAC